rnacentral:rRNA from 1 species
UACGUAGGGGGCAAGCGUUGUCCGGAAUUACUGGGCGUAAGGCGUGCGCAGGCGGUUCUCCAAGUCCGUUGUGAAAGCCCCGGGCUCAACCUGGGAAUGGCAGUGGAAACUAGGGGACUUGAAUCUGGCAGAGGGGGGUGGAAUUCCACGUGUAGCAGUGAAAUGCGUAGAGAUGUGGAGGAACACCGAUGGCGAAGGCAGCCCCCUGGGCUGAGAUUGACGCUCAGGCACGAAAGCGUGGGGAGCAAACAGG